rnacentral:rRNA from 1 species
GAUGAACGCUGGCGGCGUGCUUAACACAUGCAAGUCGAACGGAAAGGCCAGUGCUUGCACUGGUACUCGAGUGGCGAACGGGUGAGUAACACGUGGGUGAUCUGCCCUGUACUUCGGGAUAAGCUUGGGAAACUGGGUCUAAUACCGGAUAGGACAACUUUUUGGAUAUUGUUGUGGAAAGCUUUUGCGGUAUGGGAUGAGCUCGCGGCCUAUCAGCUUGUUGGUGGGGUAAUGGCCUACCAAGGCGUCGACGGGUAGCCGGCCUGAGAGGGUGUACGGCCACAUUGGGACUGAGAUACGGCCCAGACUCCUACGGGAGGCAGCAGUGGGGAUUAUUGCACAAUGGGCGCAAGCCUGAUGCAGCGACGCCGCGUGGGGGAUGAAGGCCUUCGGGUUGUAAACUCCUUUCGCUAGGGACGAAGCGCAAGUGACGGUACCUGGAGAAGAAGCACCGGCUAACUACGUG